UACGGAGGGAGCUAGCGUUGUUCGGAAUUACUGGGCGUAAAGCGCACGUAGGCGGCGAUUCAAGUCAGAGGUGAAAGCCCGGGGCUCAACCCCGGAACUGCCUUUGAAACUAGAUUGCUAGAAUCCUGGAGAGGUGAGUGGAAUUCCGAGUGUAGAGGUGAAAUUCGUAGAUAUUCGGAAGAACACCAGUGGCGAAGGCGACUCACUGGACAGGUAUUGACGCUGAGGUGCGAAAGCGUGGGGAGCAGACGAGG
rnacentral:rRNA from 1 species